GGCUUACACAUGCAAGUCGAGCGGGGGAAGGUAGCUUGCUACUGGACCUAGCGGCGGACGGGUGAGUAAUGCUUAGGAAUCUGCCUAUUAGUGGGGGACAACAUCUCGAAAGGGAUGCUAAUACCGCAUACGUCCUACGGGAGAAAGCAGGGGAUCUUCGGACCUUGCGCUAAUAGAUGAGCCUAAGUCGGAUUAGCUAGUUGGUGGGGUAAAGGCCUACCAAGGCGACGAUCUGUAGCGGGUCUGAGAGGAUGAUCCGCCACACUGGGACUGAGACACGGCCCAGACUCCUACGGGAGGCAGCAGUGGGGAAUAUUGGACAAUGGGGGGAACCCUGAUCCAGCCAUGCCGCGUGUGUGAAGAAGGCCUUAUGGUUGUAAAGCACUUUAAGCGAGGAGGAGGCUACUCUAGUUAAUACCUAGGGAUAGUGGACGUUACUCGCAGAAUAAGCACCGGCUAACUCUGUGCCAGCAGCCGCGGUAAUACAGAGGGUGCGAGCGUUAAUCGGAUUUACUGGGCGUAAAGCGUGCGUAGGCGGCUUAUUAAGUCGGAUGUGAAAUCCCCGAGCUCAACUUGGGAAUUGCAUUCGAUACUGGUGAGCUAGAGUAUGGGAGAGGAUGGUAGAAUUCCAGGUGUAGCGGUGAAAUGCGUAGAGAUCUGGAGGAAUACCGAUGGCGAAGGCAGCCAUCUGGCCUAAUACUGACGCUGAGGUACGAAAGCAUGGGGAGCAAACAGGAUUAGAUACCCUGGUAGUCCAUGCCGUAAACGAUGUCUACUAGCCGUUGGGGCCUUUGAGGCUU
rnacentral:rRNA from 1 species